rnacentral:rRNA from 1 species
UGUUGGUAUCUUAGUGGCGGACGGGUGAGUAACGCGUGGGUAACCUGCCUUACACUGGGGGAUAACACUUAGAAAUAGGUGCUAAUACCGCAUAACAGGGAAAGAUGCAUGUCUUUUCCUUAAAAACUCCGGUGGUGUAAGAUGGACCCGCGUCUGAUUAGCUAGUUGGCGGGGUAACGGCCCACCAAGGCGACGAUCAGUAGCCGGCCUGAGAGGGUGAACGGCCACAUUGGGACUGAGACACGGCCCAAACUCCUACGGGAGGCAGCA